GUUUGUGUUUGACAGCAAGCAGCAGAGGAUAUACAAGGGGGCAGCUGCAGGCAGUGUAUAACAGGAAGUUUUUGGAAGCUUUCCUGGGCAGCCACCAUUUCUUCAUUGUCUACAGUGGUGGUAUUUCUAAGCAGUCUGUGAUGCAGGUACUUGGAAGAUGAUCUGUCUCCAUUCAAUAAAACUGACUAUUAUUGUGGAGGAAAAAUAAACAUCCACAAGUAUUUAGGCAGAGACUAAUUCCUCAUUAAAGACGAUACAACUCUGCAAAUAUUCACAUAUGACUAGUUCCUCAGAGGCGAUGAAAUAAGAAGGUUUUUGUAAUGUGCUUCUUCUUCAGUAAAUACAUCUUUUUCUGGAAACUAAAUCCUUCCUCUGGACAAACAUCACUACGUCAAGCAAUUCUGUACAAAAGUGAAGUAUAGCAAUUAGCAAGAAAUUAAU